GACGAACGCUGGCGGCGUGCUUAACACAUGCAAGUCGAACGGAAAGGCCCUGCUUUUGUGGGGUGCUCGAGUGGCGAACGGGUGAGUAACACGUGAGUAACCUGCCCUUGACUUUGGGAUAACUUCAGGAAACUGGGGCUAAUACCGGAUAGGAGCUCCUGCUGCAUGGUGGGGGUUGGAAAGUUUCGGCGGUUGGGGAUGGACUCGCGGCUUAUCAGCUUGUUGGUGGGGUAGUGGCUUACCAAGGCUUUGACGGGUAGCCGGCCUGAGAGGGUGACCGGCCACAUUGGGACUGAGAUACGGCCCAGACUCCUACGGGAGGCAGCAGUGGGGAAUAUUGCACAAUGGGCGGAAGCCUGAUGCAGCAACGCCGCGUGCGGGAUGACGGCCUUCGGGUUGUAAACCGCUUUCGCCUGUGACGAAGCGUGAGUGACGGUAAUGGGUAAAGAAGCACCGGCUAACUACGUGCCAGCAGCCGCGGUGAUACGUGGGGUGCGAGCGUUGUCCGGAUUUAUUGGGCGUAAAGGGCUCGUAGGUGGUUGAUCGCGUCGGAAGUGUAAUCUUGGGGCUUAACCCUGAGCGUGCUUUCGAUACGGGUUGACUUGAGGAAGGUAGGGGAGAAUGGAAUUCCUGGUGGAGCGGUGGAAUGCGCAGAUAUCAGGAGGAACACCAGUGGCGAAGGCGGUUCUCUGGGCCUUUCCUGACGCUGAGGAGCGAAAGCGUGGGGAGCGAACAGGCUUAGAUACCCUGGUAGUCCACGCUGUAAACGGUGGGUACUAGGUGUGGGGUCCAUUCCACGGGUUCCGUGCCGUAGCUAACGCUUUAAGUACCCCGCCUGGGGAGUACGGCCGCAAGGCUAAAACUCAAAGGAAUUGACGGGGCCCCGCACAAGCGGCGGAGCAUGCGGAUUAAUUCGAUGCAACGCGUAGAACCUUACCUGGGUUUGACAUGGAUCGGGAGUGCUCAGAGAUGGGUGUGCCUCUUUUGGGGUCGGUUCACAGGUGGUGCAUGGCUGUCGUCAGCUCGUGUCGUGAGAUGUUGGGUUAAGUCCCGCAACGAGCGCAACCCUUGUUCACUGUUGCCAGCACGUUAUGGUGGGGACUCAGUGGAGACCGCCGGGGUCAACUCGGAGGAAGGUGGGGAUGACGUCAAGUCAUCAUGCCCCUUAUGUCCAGGGCUUCACGCAUGCUACAAUGGCUGGUACAGAGAGUGGCGAGCCUGUGAGGGUGAGCGAAUCUCGGAAAGCCGGUCUCAGUUCGGAUUGGGGUCUGCAACUCGACCUCAUGAAGUCGGAGUCGCUAGUAAUCGCAGAUCAGCAACGCUGCGGUGAAUACGUUCCCGGGACU
rnacentral:rRNA from 1 species